rnacentral:rRNA from 1 species
GGCCAGUGUGGGGCCGUCGGCGGGGGUAAUACGAGGGUGGCAGGCGUGGUUCGGGUUCACUGGGCGUACAGGGUGUUGAGGCGGUUUGGUAAGCCUUCUGUUAAAGCGUCGGGCCGAACCCGGAAAGCGCAGAGGGUACUGCCAGGCUAGAGGGUGGGAGAGGAGCGCGGAAUUCCCGGUGUAGCGGUGAAAUGCGUAGAUAUCGGGAGGAAUACCAGUGGCGAAAGCGGCACCCUGGCACUGGCCUGACGCUCAUGUGCGAAGGCGUGGGGAGCGAACGGGAUUAGAUACCCAGUAGUC